ensembl:ncRNA C11E4.17 ncRNA
AAGUGGCAGUCGGUCCUUGAAUAUACUCAAUGAUUAUGAGCACCGUUGUAAAUGCUCCCAGACUGAUGCAAAUAAUAAUGACGAUCCACCAGAAUAUUCGCAUUCUUAAUGUUUUGCUCAUCAGGGCUUGGCUCAGACCAUGAACUUCAC